rnacentral:lncRNA from 1 species
UGUGGUGAUUAUUAUUCCAUGAAUCAAGUCUUCCUUUGCACUUCAAUGUUAUUCUGCAAAUUAACUCGUAACUAUCAACCAGAACCAGCCACAAGUUUGAGGUAUUGGCACUGAUUGAAAAGUGAAAGCUUUAGCCUUGGUAAAUGACUGACACUUGCUGUAGAUCUGAUUGAUAGCAAGGAAUAUUUUCUUGUACAGGUGCCUGUACAGUAAGUAGUUUGUUUUAUUUUUCUUACUUGUGAAGUUUUUGUGGUUUCCUAAGCAGUCUU